UAGUAUCUGCUUUAUAACAAAGUGAAUCAGUUAUACAUAUACAUAUGUUCCCAUAUCUCUUCCCUCUUGUGUCUCCCUCCCUCCCACCCUCCCUAUCCCACCCCUCUAGGUGGUCACAAAGCACUGAGCUGAUCUCCCUGUGCUAUGCGGCUGCUUCCCACUAGCUAUCUAUUUUACGUUUGGUAGUGUAUAUAUGUCCAUGCCACUCUCUCACUUUGUCACAGCUUACCCUUCCCUCUCCCCAUAUCCUCAAGUGCAUUCUCUAGUAGGUCUGUGUCUUUAUUCCCGUCUUACCCAUAGGUUCUUCAUGACAUUUUUUUUUCCUUAGAUUCCAUAUAUAUGUGUUAGUAUACGGUAUUUGUCUUUCUCUUUCUGACUUACUUCACUCUGUAUGACAGACUCUAGGUCCAUCCACCUCACUACAAAUUACUCAAUUUCGUUUCUUUUUAUGGCUGAGUAAUAUUCCAUUGUAUAUAUGUGCCACAUCUUCUUUAUCCAUUCAUCCGAUGAUGGACACUUAGGUUGUUUCCAUCUCGGGGCUAUUGUAAAUAGAGCUUCAAUGAACAUUGUGGUGCAUGACUCUUUUUGAAUUAUGGUUUUCUCAGGGUAUAUGCCCAGUAGUGGGAUUGCUGGGUCAUAUGGUAGUUCUAUUUGUAGUUUUUUAAGGAACCUCCAUAUUGUUCUCCACAGUGGCUGUAUCAAUUUACAUUCCCACCAACAGUGCAAGAGGGUUCCCUUUUCUCCACACCCUCUCCAGCAUUUAUUGUUUCUAGAUUUUUUGAUGAUGGCCAUUCUGACUGGUAUGAGAUGAUAUCUCAUUGUACUUUUGAUUUGCAUUUCUCUAAUGAUUAGUGAUGUUGAGCAUUCUUUCAUGUGUUUGUUGGCAGUCUGUAUAUCUUCUUUGGAGAAAUGUCUAUUUAGGUCUUCUGCCCAUUUUUGGAUUGGGUUGUUUGUUUUUUUAUUAUUGAGCUGCAUGAGCUGCUUAUAAAUUUUGGAGAUUAAUCCUU